rnacentral:rRNA from 1 species
CUCUUCUUGGAAUUAAUUUGAAGUAUUACCUGCCCGCUGGGGUUUUUGAAGGGCCGCGGUAUAUUGACCGUGCAAAGGUAGCAUAAUCAUUAGUCUUUUAAUUGAGGGCUGGAAUGAAUGGUUUGACGAGGCACAUACUGUCCCUUUGAAAUGUUAUUGAAUUUGGUUUUUAAGUUAAAACACUUAAAUGUUUUUAUGGGACGAGAAGACCCUAUAGAGUUUUACCGGUAUAUAAUUGUUUAUGUUUGUUGAUUUUGAAGAUAAAUUAUUUUCUGGUUUGGUUGGGGUGAUUAGAGGAUAUAAUAAACUCCUCUUUAUUGGUGAUAUAUUUAUUUAUAUUUAAAUGAUCCAUUUAUUUUGAUUAUAAGAUUAAAUUACCUUAGGGAUAACAGCGUAAUUUCCUUUGAGAGUUCUUAUCGACAAGGGAGUUUGCGA